rnacentral:tRNA from 1 species
GGGCCUAUAGUUCAGCGGUAAAACAUAUCCAUGGCAUGGAUAAGUUGUGGGUUCGACUCCCACUAGGUCCA